AAGGAGUCUAACAUCUAUGCGAGUGUUUGGGUGUCAAGCCCGAGCGCGCAAUGAAAGUGAACGGAGGUGGGAACCCUUUGGGUGCACCAUCGACCGAUCCUGAUGUCUUCGGAUGGAUUUGAGUAAGAGCAUAGCUGUUGGGACCCGAAAGAUGGUGAACUAUGCUUGAAUAGGGUGAAGCCAGAGGAGACUCUGGUGGAGGCUCGCAGCGGUUCUGACGUGCAAAUCGAUCGUCAAAUUUGGGCAUAGGGGCGAAAGACUAAUCGAACCAUCUAGCAGCUGGUUCCUGC
rnacentral:misc_RNA from 1 species